rnacentral:lncRNA from 1 species
CAGAAAGCAAGAGUUCCAAAAGCAGCAGUUUAGAAGAAGGCUAUUAGAAGAAGGCUAGUUUCUGCUUUUGAUCAGAACUACUUCCUGCUAAACAAGUGCGAUGGAGUCAGUUUCAGUAAUGAAUCUGAACCAGAGGCCAGUUCAGCGCCGAUUUAAGCUGAACCGAGAGAGCUGGAUUAAUACCCCCCAGCAUGGGCAGAACCAGCGUCCUUCUAGAAGGGACAGAAAACAUGCCCGCAGAAUCUCACCUGUUGACUCUGAGAUUAAUCAGACUAUCAACAGGGGGAUUAAACACAGGCUGCAGAACGAGGAUGAAGUCAUCCGGGAGAGUUCUGCAAAAAGGAAGGUGUUGGAGAAGACAGCAGGGAGACUUGAGAUCACCAUUAAUCAAUCCACCAGGAAGUGGAAGAGCCAUGACUCUGCUAAGGAUACAGCACCACAGAAGAAACCAGAGGCCUAUCUGAACACAGAUUCCUUCGUUGGUGCUCCAAUUAAGAGGCGUGGCCGCAAGCGUCGCCGUAGGCCGAAGACAGCCUACGAUCCAAGUCCUGCAAAACAAGCUUGA